UGGGUUUCUUUCUUAUACUAGUUAGUCUUGUUUACAAUUAUGUUAAUAUUUUACUAGGGCUUAAAAUUCAACAUGAUUUACAAUGUACAAACUUCAGUCUCGACUGCCCCAAUGGCAUUGCUACAACUUCUGUUGCUUCAGUUUGCUUGCACAUUGCCAGGAUCCUGAAGGCAGGUACAAGAAAAAAAAAAACCCAUUGAGCUGUGCCUUCUCCUUCCACUUUCGCCGCUCUCUAGUCUGAUGUGGACUGUAACCUGCCACCAGCAAGGCAGCAACUGAAAAACACCAGGGAACGACAUACAUUAGAUCUUUCCAGCUGUGAGCGAUUGAUGUGAGUGAUUAAUCCAUUGAUACUGAACUAUUUUCUAGAACUGGGAUGAUUUUGAAGAAACCCCAAUGGAAUGUACACACAAAUUCCUGGCAAUCAGCGAAGCAGUAGCAGCUCAUGGAGCUGCCCUUUACAAACCUUGAAGUAGCCUUCAUCUUGCUGGCUUUUGUCAUUUUCUCCUUGUUUACCCUGGCUUCUAUCUACAGUGACCCCCAUGACAACAAAGAAGAGGAAAGAUCCACACAAGAAAAAUGUAAGAAAAGAAGCAAAUCCAAGAAAAAAAUGACACGUUCAAGUAUGACUGAAGUGGUUUAGAAUAUUACCCAGGUGCACUGUUGGAAAUACUUUUGAAAAAGGUAGCUCUAGAAGCCGGUCACCCGAAGACACUGAGAAAAAGGAUGUGAGAAAGGAAAGACCUGAUCAUCAUCAGAUGGAAUCCAGACAAGCCAAUUAGAGUUAAUGAACCACGACCCGUGAAGCUGCUUCAGCACCUUUUUACAACCUCCAUUCAUGGCCUUAAUAAAACUACCAGGGCUUUUUUUACA
rnacentral:lncRNA from 1 species